GCUCGAGAUUAAUUAGUGCGGGAUAGCAUGGCUAUCCAGAUAAAUUUAUAUAGGCGUGGAACUUAAUGCCAAAAUUGGAAAUUGCAAAAGGGUUCGAUUCGCCCCAUCCUCACAACAGCUUCUAUAAAAA